AUACCUUUCUCGGCCUUUUGGCUAAGAUCAAGUGUAGUAUCUGUUCUUAUCAGUUUAAUAUCUGAUAUGUGGGUCAUUGGCCCACAUGAUAUUAAAUUUAUUUUUUGAAGGGUGGGGCCUGACAUAGUAGCUUGCUACUGGGGGUUCUUAAGCGUAGCCUGUGUCUUGCACUACUGCAUGGGCCUGGCGCACCCUAC
rfam:Glycine soja cultivar W05 scaffold1087_13, whole genome shotgun sequence.